rnacentral:rRNA from 1 species
GAUGAACGCUGGCGGCGUGCCUAAUACAUGCAAGUCGAGCGAAUGGAUUAAGAGCUUGCUCUUAUGAAGUUAGCGGCGGACGGGUGAGUAACACGUGGGUAACCUGCCCAUAAGACUGGGAUAACUCCGGGAAACCUGGGCUAAUACCGGAUAACAUUUUGAACCGCAUGGUUCGACAUUGAAAGGCGGCUUCGGCUGUCACUUAUGGAUGGACCCGCGUCGCAUUAGCUAGUUGGUGAGGUAACGGCUCACCAAGGCAACGAUGCGUAGCCGACCUGAGAGGGUGAUCGGCCACACUGGGACUGAGACACGGCCCAGACUCCUACGGGAGGCAGCAGUAGGGAAUCUUCCGCAAUGGACGAAAGUCUGACGGAGCAACGCCGCGUGAGUGAUGAAGGCUUUCGGGUCGUAAAACUCUGUUGUUAGGGAAGAACAAGUGCUAGUUGAAUAAGCUGGCACCUUGACGGUACCUAACCAGAAAGCCACGGCUAACUACGUGCCAGCAGCCGCGGUAA